rnacentral:tRNA from 1 species
GGGGCCUUAGCUCAACGGUUAGAGCAGGCGACUCAUAAUCGCUCGGUUGUGGGUUCAAAUCCCGCAGGCCCCACCA